AAGAGCCCUAUGAAGGGAGACUUUCACCUACGGUUCUGUGAGAACGCAGGGGUGAAAUUCCCUUGCGUGACUCGAU
rfam:Flavobacterium granuli strain DSM 19729 genome assembly, contig: Ga0134107_119